rnacentral:misc_RNA from 1 species
GAUGAAGAACGCAGCGAAAUGCGAUAAGUAGUGUGAAUUGCAGAAUUCAGUGAAUCAUCGAAUCUUUGAACGCACAUUGCGCCCCUUGGUAUUCCAUGGGGCAUGCCUGUUCGAGCGUCAUUUACACCCUCAAGCUCUGCUUGGUGUUGGGCGUCUGUCCCGCUGCUUUGCGCGGACUCGCCUCAAAGGUAUUGGCAGCGAUCAUGCCAGCUUCUCGCGCAGCACAUUGCGCUUCUUGAAGUUCUGGUGGAUCAGCGUCCAUUAAGCUUACCUUCAUGACUUGACCUCGGAUCAGGUAGGGAUACCCGCUGAACUUAAGCAUAUCAAUAAGCGGAGGA